AACAAAUGGAGAGCAGCAGCUUCUCUGCAACUUUCUAUCUUCGACAGAUGUCUGAGAAACUGAUCAGUGCAGUGACUUGCCCAGGGUCACACAGCCAGUAUGUAUCAGAAGGAACAGAACCCAGGUGUUCCUGAUUCCAAGGCCAAUGCUCUAUCUACUAUAUUAUGCUGCCCUGGACUUAGUUGGCAUUUAACAUUUGUUGAAUUAUUUUUGCUGAAUAAUUCAGGAUGACUCAAGAAUGUCUUCCCUUUGCUAUCUGGCAGAAAAACCAACCCUGCUGUUCUCUUUUGCUUAGGAUUCAUGAAGGGGUUGGGACCUUUAUAAACCUGGGAACUCAGGACAAUGACUCUGCCUGUGAGUUACCGGUCAGCGGAAGGCAGGACAGAGCCAAACACAAGCAUGUCUGGCUAGACAGAGUCCCCUGCAAAUCGAGGCACAGAAAGGCCCUAUGAACCGCUCUGGCUUGCAGGCCUACUACUGAAAGGAAAAGUGUGAUUAAGCCUCCAUCAUCCAAGCCAAUGGAUAGCAUCGAUGCCAUGGAUGAACCCAAAUGGUCUAUGUUCAGGAUAUCCUGAGGCAGAGCUUGGCAGAUGAGGUGAUCCGGGCACUACAUGAGGACAAGGGGCACCUGUAUGUCUGUGGGGAUGUGAGGAUGGCCCAGGACGUGGCCCAGACUCUGAAGGAUCUCUCUGCCAAUAGACUGAAGAUGGACGAAGAGCAGACUGAGAACUAUUUCUUCCAACUCAAGAGCCAAAAGCGAUACCAUGAAGACAUCUUUGGGGCUGUCUUUCCCUAUGAGGUGAAAACUGACCCAGCAGCAUCAAAACCUGAGGAGGCCAAGAUCCCUGAGGCAAAGCUCAGCUAGAGCUACUGCAGAGGGGUGUGGCCACUUCUUCAUCAUCUGUGGCCACAGAGGGAAGGAGAUUUGACCUCCUCCCCCCACUUCCUCCCACCCCUGACUUCUGCCCCCACUGACCUCUGCCUGCUGCCAGGGAAACAAACUGAGAUUGGCUCCUUCUCCAUCUCCUCUUCCUGCCCCACCUGCCACCUGUGGCUGCUGCUAACCUGCCAGUGAAGGUGGGCAACAGAGAAGAGAAAGGACUAUGCUGGGAACUCACACCACCCCUAAACCAGGUCCACUGCUGACCCCCUCCCCCAGCCCCAGAUGAUGGAGAGUUGGCUGUCUUCAUCCCACAAGGACCCAGUUGUACCUUUGGGCAAAGACUGGGCAGGCACAUUUGGAUCCUUUUAGACUAAGGGACCACACAGAUAAAGAUAAAAAGAAGAUAAAAAAGACAGGCAAGCUUUUUCUGUAAUCAUGGCUAGGGCCGACACAUGGUUAUUUUGUUUUCCAUGUUUUUUGGAGUCAGAGCCCUAUCCACUGUACCACACUGCUUCUCAAGCCAGAAAGCUCAUUCUGAAUCUCAGAGUAGUAUUCAAUGUCCAUAAAAAAAGAUAAUUUCAUUCCACUAUAGCCCACAGGGCAUAGAGCCAAUCAAGAGGGUCCUCACAGCAGCCCUUGAGCUCUACUCUGACCAUUUGUGUUACUCUGAACCCUUCACCUGACAUGCCAGCAAGGAAAUGAGAUGGAAUAUUAGCUAGCUCUUCACCCCUACCUCACUUACUGCUGGGUUGUAUUAUAAGACCCUUGCACCAUAUCAUAGGAUUAUAACUAGAUUGGACCUUAGACACUGCCUAGUCUGACCUUCUUAUUGUGGGGAAUAGAACAAUUUUGGUUGCUGGUGGAAAGUUAGGCAAAGGUCACCAGUUCCAUCUGGGGCCUUUUCAGUCUAGUUCCCAAGUUGAUUUGCAUAACAUUAAUAACUGAAGUAACUGAAGAUCAGCAGCAGCCAUGGAGAUGCCCAGCAGAGAAAAGUGUGACAGAAGAAAGUAGAAAAAGUACUCCAUCUGGGCAGAGACAGCAGCUUCCUUAGUGACAUCACCAAAGACAUCAACGGCUCUGCGGUGUCAGAGAAGUGAGUGUUCCUGGCCAUAGGAAUGCCUUGGGCAUAUGCAUUCCUUGUGUAUAUGGCCUUCCAUACGUGUGCCCUGGUCACACGUAUUCCUUGUGUGUGUCUCCUCCCCCACUGAUGUGAUAACCUGUGAGAGAAUGUACCCCUAGGCAUACAGGGGAGUCUUCUUGUCACUACCUUUGUGGGUAAAAUUAUCAGUGCCAGAGCAAACCAGAACCUGUACCAGGUUUAGGAACCAAUGACAGUAUAUUGAGUUUGCCAGCAAGGGAGCCUCUCCCUACACACACAGGUAAGAUUUAUAUAGAUUUCAGUUAGGUGGGAUUUAAGUUGAGUUUGGGCACCUCUUCACUGGAUAGGGCUUGUUACUGGGGUGCGGGAAAGAGUAACAGUAAAGGAAAUUGUUUGGGUUAGCUAUUUCUCUAACUUUGCCAGGGUUAGAGACAGGACUGUUUUGGAAACUUCCUAUUUCAGCAGAAAGAGAGAUUGUAGAUGGGGACAGGAGCUGCAAUACAAAAACAGUCAGAGACAAGAUAGAGGAACUGCAGACCAAACGGAAUUGCUUCACUUUUCUUGGCUACCCACACUAUACUAUUUAAGGGUCCUUUCCUUUGAACUAAUAAUUAUUGACUUGGCUAGUAAAAGAAGCACAUUGAUGUGGGCUCGCACUAUAUUUUUUGAGUUUAUGCUGAUUAUAAGCACAACGUACCUUGAACUCAGGGUAUCAUUUGUAAAAGCCUAUGUCUGGGGCAGAAGUAGGGAGAAAAGAACAGAA